UCCCCAACUACACGUACCUGGUGCUGC
rnacentral:sRNA from 1 species